CCUACGGGUGGCUGCAGUGGGGAAUAUUGGACAAUGGGGGCAACCCUGAUCCAGCCAUGUCGCGUGUGUGAAGAAGGCCCUCGGGUUGUAAAGCACUUUCAGUGAGGAAGAACGCCUGGUGGUUAAUACCCAUCAGGAAAGACAUCACUCACAGAAGAAGCACCGGCUAACUCCGUGCCAGCAGCCGCGGUAAUACGGAGGGUGCGAGCGUUAAUCGGAAUUACUGGGCGUAAAGCGCGCGUAGGUGGCUUGAUAAGCCGGUUGUGAAAGCCCCGGGCUCAACCUGGGAACGGCAUCCGGAACUGUCAAGCUAGAGUGCAGGAGAGGAAGGUAGAAUUCCCGGUGUAGCGGUGAAAUGCGUAGAGAUCGGGAGGAAUACCAGUGGCGAAGGCGGCCUUCUGGACUGACACUGACACUGAGGUGCGAAAGCGUGGGUAGCAAACAGGAUUAGAUACCCGUGUAGUC
rnacentral:rRNA from 1 species